GAAAAGAGUUUUUCUUGACUCUAUUUAUGCAAGAAAUUCUUGCUGGCCACAGAAUGAAUACAGCAACACCACCAUAUCGUCAGACCACUUCAACAAAGAAUCACACAAUUGAGAGAAUUUGGCCUGAAAUAAACAACAGGGUUAAUUACCCUUUGAAGGAGGCUCUUGUUCAGCUGGUCGACCAAGAACUGAUUGAUAUGGACUGCAACCUAACAUAAUACUGUGUGUCUAACCUUGUCUGUCAGCUGUGUCAUCUGGGCAUUAGCAGGGUAGUAGAGGCAUGGAACAACCACAGGAUUCCUGGAAAAGGAAUCCCCUACCAGAUUGCACAGGGUGGUUGUGCAAAAAAAAUCUCAGCAGCACUACUGCCUCAUGGAACUGAAGCAGCUGAUCUGUACAUGAACACACUGGGAUCAUCUUUGACAAGGGUUUCGGCCUUU